AUACGGAGGGUGCAAGCGUUACUCGGAAUCACUGGGCGUAAAGCGCGCGCAGGCGGCUUGAUAAGUUGGAUGUGAAAGCCUACGGCUCAACCGUAGAACUGCAUCCAAAACUGUCAGGCUAGAGUGUGGGAGAGGAAGAUGGAAUUAGUUGUGUAGGGGUAAAAUCCGUAGAGAUAACUAGGAAUACCAAAAGCGAAGGCAAUCUUCUGGAACACUACUGACGCUGAGGCGCGAAGGCGUCGGGAGCAAACAGGAUUAGAAACCCCAGUAGUCC
rnacentral:rRNA from 1 species